rnacentral:miRNA from 10 species
CCCAUGGAUCAAGUAUUUAAUA